rnacentral:lncRNA from 1 species
AGAAACAUUACUCCUUUCAAAAAUCAAAGGAAUCCAAAAACAUUUCCUUCCAAACUUAAGAACCAGAACGUUUUCCUCUCAAAUUUCAAGGAAACAAAAAUGUGCUAUUUCGUUCCAAAACUUUAGAAACCAAAAAACAAAUUUCGUCCAUGAAUCUUGAAGGAGCAGAGGCAAAUUUCGUUCAAUCAACGAGGGGUUUCCAACAAAAUAUUAUACGAAGUUUUCCCUACUUCAGGUAUGUUAAGGCCCUCCCUUCUUUAUUUGGGCAUGGUCCAAGUUAUACUGAAGAAACGAGCAAACAUGCAGUUUCCAUAAAUUACUCUAUUCAUAGAAAUAGUAUGGUGUCUAUAUUCUUGAUUCCCCAUGAAAAAUAUUAUUAUCUUCUAUUCAAGGGUCUCAAAGUAAUACGCAGUUGGAAAAGUUUAUAUGGAAGAAAUAUUGAGAUUUUUACGUAUUUUUCAUGCAUUUCACUCAUUUAUACAUGUGCAUUGACACAUGACCAGAUGGCAUUAUAUACGCGUAUAUAUGUAAAUAUAUGUAUAUGGGAUAUGGAAAAAGGUUACGGCAUUAUAUAUGCAGCACCACCUGAUCAGCUGGUAUAUGUUGAUGAUGUUGCCCAUAGUGGCCGAGAUGAUAUGAUGGGAUGCCCUCAGUGGCUUGAUGAUAUUAUAUACACCCAUACCUAUGCAUGGCACGACACUUAUACGCACAUGCAUGACAUUAUAAACAUUACAAAAUUUACAAAGUUAUUCAGAUUUAAAGAUGUGUUUCCUUAUUCCAUAUUUUAUCUGUCUUUUACGUACUAAUUUUCAUGCCUUACAUACUCAGAACAUUUUUUGUACUGACGCCCUAUUUCACGGGGCCUGCGUUUCAUGCCUGCAGGUGCAAGUAGGCAAGCUGACGGUCCCCCUUCUUAGGAUUCUUGAUCAGCG